UCAACGGGGUGCUGCGCCAGAUGCGUGGCUGAGAGAUACCCGUCGAACCUGAUCCGGAUAAUCCCGGCGAAGGGAUUUGAGG
rnacentral:ncRNA from 1 species